rnacentral:rRNA from 1 species
CUUAAAUACCACAUUAAAUUAACAACAUAAAUAAAAUAAUAAGACCUAAAAUUAUUAAUUAAACCAUUUUUCCGCCUAAGUACGGGAGACGAAAAAGGUUCCAUAAGCAAUAGAAAAAGUACCGCAAGGGAAUGCUGAAAGAGCAAUGAAAUAAGUCAUUUAAGCAUAAAAAAGCAGAGACAAAGCUC